GCCGCGCUUCCCAGUGCAUAGCUGCCAUGUUACAGUACACCACCCUGUGGGGAAGGAGUCGGUCUGAUCUGGGUAGGCCCAUUACCCUGACCUACUGUAUGAGUACUCAUUACCCUAUAAUGCAAUCCCUUGCAGAGGAAAAAAAAAAAAUCUACAUCUCAUCCCAAAAUAAAAACGAGUUUAAUCGAUUGAUUAACUGUUUGUGUAAUAACACAUAAAGUCAUCUGCACUGAUGAUGUUUGUAGUAACAUUUUUAACCUUUCAAAACAGAGACACAACUGUAAUAUUGACUUUCCUAAGUAAAAAAUAAUGCACUUGCCAAUGAGCUCUGCAAGACAGCAACAACAGGACAGCAGCAACAGCCCUUACUGAAUACAGCUCUGACUGCAACCACAACCACAUCUGGGCAGAUGAUAUGUUGCUUGGCAACUUUGAUUGUGACAUCAUAUGAUGAUAAUGACAAUGCAAUGAUGAAACAAAACUAUCUUGUUCAAAGAAUUCCAUUCCAUUAUUGCAGCGUGUCUGUCGUGGUUGGUUUUGACACAGGGUGGCGCCAAAGUCUGUCCAUACACCGUGUAUACCUAGAGGUUUCCUUUCACCGGCUGUCAUGUUACUCUAGCACAAAAAGUGCAAUUUAUUUCAUUUUUAUAAGUGCAUGUCUCGUAAUUGACCGAGGUAAAGACAGAUUCAGGUUGGAAAUUCGACGGAUAUUCUCCUGUAGUUUUCCUUACGUCCACCAACAGCAGUUAGGGACCGUCAACAUAGUGACAAAAAAAAAAAUCUAAUUUCAAUAGCUCUUUAACCAUUACUCCUAAAACUUUCAAAACUGGUUCUAGCUAAGCUGAUGGCAUAGACACAUAUUGCACACAUUUUUUUUUGUCGAUUUACACCUCACACUAUUUUCAAUUAUUUAUUUCAAGGUUUCUAAUUUCAAUAGCUCCUUGGUCAUGUGACCUACUGACCUCAAACAAGGUUCAGACUGUACACUCAGUGGGUCUACACAUUGCACACCCUUUUGUUUUUCCAUUUCCUUCUCACACACCUGUCACUCACACACCUACAUGUAUUCACUUGGGCCUUAUCCCUGGGGCAUUCCUGACCUCCAGGCAGGCCCCCAUUGACCUGGUGACCUCUGACUCCUGCCUACACAUUGUACACCCUUUAGUUUGUCCAUUUUCAUCUCACACGAUUUUACAUGAAUUUUUCAAACAUUCAAUAGCUCCUUGGUCAUGUGACCCUCUCGCAGAACUCCCCAGCUACGGCGCUCGCUGGCCCCACACGUUGUAGGUGGGGAGGUCUUCUCUAUGCUCGCUAGACUUCAGGUGGAGACUAAACCCAUUGGCCCCGCAGUGAUUGGGCAUUGCAUGGAUCUGGCUCAUGCCCUACAAAGUGGGGAGAGGUAUCUCCAGCUUGUCUGGGGAGGGAGGCGUACAUCUGAUGUGGGUAGUACCAUCCACGCCCAUUGAUUUGCUGCGGAACCAUAAAACGGAGGGAAGAAGCCUAGGUUCCCACUGGGCACGGAUCAACUUGAUGAAAUUGAAAGGAGCGUACCCACCUGUCGCGGUCACACUUAAAUCACCCCGUUGGGUGACUGUGACCCCCUCAUGUCAAAGUGAGGAAUAUCGAUGAAGCGCUGGAAAAGGUGGUUCCUAUGCCUCUGUCCCAGAGGGCUGACUGGGCAAGCAAAUGUUUGAAAGGGAAUGAUUAUUUUCUGUUACUUCUUCCCGACACCCGGUCGAUGUUGCCGCUAGAUACUGCAAUGGGUAUUUGGUUCUCAAGCCUAUACGUAUUGCGCUGGCGCUUGAUGUCGAUUGGGUGUAAAAACCCAGUUAAAGCCCGCUGGAGGUUAGUAGCGGAAACAGAUGUCCAGUUUGUAAGACAGAAAAGCCUCUGAUAAUACCACCGGACGUUACUCUAAUGGAUGCCAAUUUGAUAUCUGACCGUCACAUGCUACCCUUUACGGUCGCACUCAAACCACCUUCGGGGAGAGGUGUGAACCCCUCAUGUCAAAGUGAGGAAAUUCGAUGAAGCGGGGGUAAACGGCGGGACAUAAUUAAGAGUCUCUUGAGGUAGCCCAAUACCUCGUCAUCUAAUUAGUGACACGCAUGAAUGGAUGAACGAGAUUCCCACUAUCCCUACCUAUUAUCUAGCGAAACCACAGCCAAGGGAACGGGCUUGACGGAAUCAGCGGGGAUUGAAGACCCUGUUGAGCUUGACUCUAGUCUGGCAUUUGAAGAGAUAUGAGAGGUGUAGAAUAAGUGGGAGACCUCGGUCAAUGGUGAAAUAAUACUACUCUUAUUGUUUUUUUACUUACCCAGUGAGGCGGGGAGGUGCUCAGGGGACCGUGGCAGGUGGGGAGUUUGACUGGGGCAGUUCACCUGUCAAACGGUAAUGCAGGUGUCCUAAGGCGAGCUCAGGAAGGACAGAAACCUCCCGUGGAGCAGAAGGGCAAAGGCUCGCUUGAUCUUGAUUUUCAGUAUGAAUACAGACCCGUGAAAGCGGGGCCUCAUGAUCCUUCUGAAUUUUGGGCUUUUAAGCAGGAGGUGUCAAAAGUUACCACAAGGAUAACUGGCUUGUGGCUGCCACGCGUUCCUAGCGACGUCGGCUCUUCCUAUCAUUGCGAAGCAGAAUUCACCAAGCGUUGGAUUGUUCACACACUAAUAGUGAGCUGGGUUUAGACCAUCGUGAGACAGGUUAGUUUUACCCUACUGAUGAUGUGUUGUUGCAAUAGUAAUCCUGCUCAGAACGAAAGGAACCACAGGUUCAAACAUUUGGUGUAUUUGAUUGGCUGAGGAGCCAAUGGUGCGAAGCUACCAUCUGUGGUAUUAUGACUGAAUGCCUCUAACUCAGAAUCUCCCCUAAACGUAAGGAUACUGUAGCGCUGAGGAUCUUCGGGUUGACCUGGGAUAGACUGCCUCUUCUGGCAGCUGAGUAGAGCCAUUUCGUGACUGGGUUGGGGUGUGGCCAGAUGAGUUGCCGCCCCUCUCCUGAUGUGCACUGCAUGUUUGUGGGGAACCAGGUGCUAAAUCCCUCGUAGACGACCUGAUUCUGGGUCAGGGUUUCGUACGUAGCAGCGCAGCUUACUCACUGCGGUCUAUUGAAAGUCAACCCUCGAUCCAAGCUUU
rnacentral:rRNA from 1 species